GACAGAGGGUGCAAGCGUUGUUCGGAAUUACUGGGCGUAAAGCGCGUGUAGGCUGCCCCAGCAAGUCGGAUGUGAAAGCCCUGGGCUUAACCUAGGAAGUGCAUUCGAAACUGCUGGGCUUGGGCUCUGGAGAGGAAGGCGGAAUUCUCGGUGUAGAGGUGAAAUUCGUAGAUAUCGAGAGGAACACCGGUGGCGAAGGCGGCCUUCUGGACAGUAUCUGACGCUGAGACGCGAAAGCGUGGGGAGCAAACAGG
rnacentral:rRNA from 1 species